ensembl:rRNA 5S_rRNA 5S ribosomal RNA
GCCAGCAGCCAUAUCACCAUGCAACUCACAACUGGCAGCCCACUGAAGCUAAGCAGGUGUGAGCCUGGUCAGUACCUGGAUGGGAGACCUCCUGGGAAAAACUAAGGUUGCUGCUGGAA